GACGAACGCUGGCGGCGUGCUUAACACAUGCAAGUCGAACGAUGAAGCCGGAGCUUGCUCUGGUGAAUUAGUGGCGAACGGGUGAGUAACACGUGAGUAACCUGCCCUUGACUCUGGGAUAACUGCGGGAAACUGUAGCUAAUACCGGAUACGACCCUCGGAGGCAUCUCCUGGGGGUGGAAAGAAUUUCGGUCAAGGAUGGACUCGCGGCCUAUCAGCUAGUUGGUGAGGGAAAGGCUCACCAAGGCGACGACGGGUAGCCGGCCUGAGAGGGUGACCGGCCACACUGGGACUGAGACACGGCCCAGACUCCGACGGGAGGCAGCAGUGGGGAAUAUCGCACAAUGGGCGCAAGCCUGAUGCAGCAACGCCGCGUGAGGGAUGACGGCCUUCGGGUUGUAGACCUCUUUUAGCAGGGAAGAAGCGAAAGUGACGGUACCUGCGGAAAAAGCACCGGCUAACUACGUGCCAGCCGCCGCCGUAA
rnacentral:rRNA from 1 species